rnacentral:lncRNA from 1 species
UAUUUCACAGACCAGUACUGUGAAAAACAUGCUGAAUGCAACAGAGAAAUGAAGAGAUGCGCUACUGCUGUCUUGAAAGAUACACAUGCUCAGCAUUUGUCUGCAGAGGUUUUCAACUUGCCCUGAAACUCCAUCCUGGCAAAACGUCUGACACACAUCCCAGAGCACUUCAGUUUAAGCUUCCAACACUAAGGGAAAGAACUAUGAGCUGGUUUUACAACAGCGGAACAUUGUCUGGCUGAAGCACUAUGACAGAAAGACUCUGGUUUGGUUGUUGGUCAAGUACAACAGAAGGAGAAGAGGGAGUUACAUCUACAUGGCUGAAUAAAGAAAAAGUACUGAUGAAUACUGGAGUAAGA